rnacentral:tRNA from 1 species
UAAGGAAUAGGUAAACAGGUAUACCCCAAAACUUUGAAUUUUGAAUUAGAAGUUCAAGACUUCUUUCCUUAA